AGAGUUUGAUCCUGGCUCAGAGCGAACGCUGGCGGCGUGCUUAACACAUGCAAGUCGAACGCGCAGCAUUCUGUAGCAAUACAGGGUGUGGGCGCGUGGCGAACGGGUGCGUAACACGUGGAUAACCUUCCUUCAGGUGGGGAAUAACCCAGUGAAAAUUGGGCUAAUACCGCAUAACAUCGCGAUGGCACAUGCUGUUGCGUUCAAAGGCGCAAGUCGCCAGAAGAGGGAUCCGCGGCCGAUUAGCUUGUUGGCGGGGUAACGGCCCACCAAGGCUUUGAUCGGUAGCCGGACUGAGAGGUUGGCCGGCCACACUGGAACUGAGACACGGUCCAGACUCCUACGGGAGGCAGCAGUGGGGAAUCUUGCACAAUGGACGAAAGUCUGAUGCAGCAACGCCGCGUGGGGGAUGAAGCUUCUCGGAGUGUAAACCCCUUUCGACCCGGACGAAUGCCCGCAAGGGCUUGACGGUACGGGUAUAAGAAGCCCCGGCUAACUACGUGCCAGCAGCCGCGGUAAUACGUAGGGGGCCAGCGUUGCUCGGAAUUACUGGGCGUAAAGGGUCCGUAGGCGGUGCGGCAAGUCGAUAGUGAAAUCUCUGGGCUUAACUCAGAGGCUGCUAACGAAACUGCCGUGCUAGAGUGUGAGAGAGGCGAGUGGAAUUACGGGUGUAGCGGUGAAAUGCGUAGAUAUCCGUAGGAACAUCCGAGGCGAAAGCGGCUCGCUGGAUCACAACUGACGCUGAGGGACGAAAGCUAGGGGAGCAAACAGGAUUAGAUACCCUGGUAGUCCUAGCCCUAAACCAUCAGGACUUGGGGUUUGCCCUGUACGGGGCAAGUCCCGUAGCUAACGCGUUAAGUCCUGCGCCUGGGGAGUACGGUCGCAAGGCUGAACUCAAGGAAUUGACGGGGGCCCGCACAAGCGGUGGAACAUGUGGUUCAAUUCGACGCAACGCGAAGAACCUUACCUGGGCUUGAACCGCACAGGACCAGCUUUAGA
rnacentral:rRNA from 1 species